rnacentral:rRNA from 1 species
UUGGAGGGCAAGUCUGGUGCCAGCAGCCGCGGUAAUUCCAGCUCCAGUAGCGUAUAUUAAGGUUGUUGCAGUUAAAAAGCUCGUAGUUGAAUUUCGGGGUCAGUAGGUUGGUCAUGCCACUGGUAUGUACUGGUCUCACUGAUUCCUCCUUCCUGAUGAACUGUAAUGCCAUUAAUUUGGUGUUGCAGGGAAUCUGGACUGUUACUUUGAAAAAAUUAGAGUGUUUAAAGCAGGCUAACGCCUGAAUACAUUAGCACGGAAUAAUGAAAUAGGACGUUCGAUCCUAUUUUGUUGGUUUCUAGGAUUGACGUAAUGAUUAAUAGGGAUAGUUGGGGGCAUUAGUAUUCAAUUGUCAGAGGUGAAAUUCUUGGAUUUAUUGAAGACUAACUACUGCGAAAGCAUUUGCCAAGGAUGUUUUCAUUAAUCAAGAACGAAAGUUAGGGGAUCGAAGACGACCAGAUACCGUCGUAGUCUUAACCAUAAACUAUGCCGACUAGGGAUCGGAUGAUGUUAAUUUUUUAAUGACUCAUUCGGCGCCUUACGGGAAACCAAAGUGUUUGGGUUC